AGACUUUUUCCAUCCAGUUGGAGCUGUAUUGACCAAUCAGAGUGGCCCCAUUCUGACCAAUAAGGACAGUGCUCUUUGGACCAACCAAACUGCGAGGAUUUGGAGUCCUCAUCUGCAUGAGGACAGACCAAUCAGGUGGGCCUGGGCCUGGGCCUGGGCCUGCAAAGAUAGUGCUACUGGACUGAACCACAGCAGAGCAGAGCUGUCUAGCUGGAGAGGGACCAGGAUCCGGGAUUUCUCUGCAUAUACUAAGUCCCAGGGUGAGACCUGGCCACACCUACCACUCCUGCCUCUGCCAGGACCUCCCUUCCCGCUUCCUCCAGCCUCCAGGCCUGAGGCUGCUGUGUGGGAACCAGUGUCCACCAGAUGCCCACGUACUCCUCUCGGGUGGCUGUGUGUCUAGGAGCCUGCAGGCAGUGCCUCGUCUCCGUGGCCCUGGUCCACGUGAUGGUGUGGUCCCCACAGAGCACAUCUCACGAGGAGGCAAGAACCCAAGAAGACAUUAACCUCAACAGGAGGCGAGAAUGUGAGGGGAAGUCAGCAGGCUACUUCCUUGGAAUUUCAGGGAGGAAAUCUGAGUCGAUGCCUGAGGGCCUCUAUUUUUGUUGUGUGGUUGUUGAGCAGUAGGGGAAGUUGCCUAGUUUUUAACCUUUUGCACUCGGAUGUCGAGUGUGACUCGACACGGUUAGCAUCGGUAGCAGCUCGUAUGUCGAGCCACACUCGACACGUAG